rnacentral:rRNA from 1 species
AUUGAACGCUGGCGGCAGGCCUAACACCUGCAAGUCGAACGAGUGGCGGACGGGUGCGUAAUGUCUGGGAAACUGCCUGAUGGAGGGGGAUAACUACUGGAAACGGUAGCUAAUACCGCAUACCAUCGGAUGUGCCCAGAUGGGAUUAGCUAGUAGGUGGGGUAAAGGCUCACCUAGGCGCCGAUCCCUAGCUGGUCUGAGAGGAUGACCAGCACUACUGGACAUAAGACACGUUCCAGACUCCUACGGGAGGAGGCAGUGGGGAAUAUUGCACAAUGGGCGCAAGCCUGAUGCAGCCAUGCCGCGUGUAUGAAGAAGGCCUUCGGGUUGUAAAGUACUUUCAGCGGGGAGGCGUUACCCGCAGAAGAAGCACCGGCUAACUCCGUGCCAGCAGCCGCGGUAAUAC